GAUGAAGAACUCAGCGAAAUGCGAUAAGUAAUGUAAAUUGCAGAAUUCAGUGAAUCAUCGAAUCUUUGAACGCACAUUGCGCCCGCCAGUAUUCUGGCGGGCAUGCCUGUUCGAGCGUCAUUUCAACCAUCAAGCCCCAGGCUUGUGUUGGAGCCCUGCGGCUGCCGCAGCCUCCCAAAACCAGUGGCGGGCUCGCUAUCACACCGAGUGCAGUAGUUUACUCUUCGCUCAGGGCGUGUGGCGGGUGCUAGCCGUGAAACCCCCAACUUCUCAAGGUUGACCUCGGAUCAGGUAGGAAUACCCGCUGAACUUAAGCAUAUCAAUAAGCGGAGGA
rnacentral:misc_RNA from 1 species